rnacentral:tRNA from 1 species
GCCAGUUUGGUGGAUAUGACACUCGGCUUGAAACCGAGUGGGCACGGGUUCGAAUCCCUUAUAAGGCA